AGUGAACGCUGGCGGUAGGCCUAACACAUGCAAGUCGAACGGCAGCACAGUAAGAGCUUGCUCUUACGGGUGGCGAGUGGCGGACGGGUGAGGAAUACGUCGGAAUCUACUUUUUCGUGGGUGAUAACGGAGGGAAACUUACGCUAAUACCUCAUACGACCUACGGGUGAAAGCAGAGGAUCUUCGGACCUUGCGCGAUUGAAUUAGCCGAUGUCGGAUUAGCUAGUUGGCGGGGUAAAGGCCCACCAAGGCAACGAUCCGUAGCUGGUCUGAGAGGAUGAUCAGCCACACUGGAACUGAGACACGGUCCAGACUCCUACGGGAGGCAGCAGUGGGGAAUAUUGGACAAUGGGCGCAAGCCUGAUCCAGCCAUACCGCGUGGGUGAAGAAGGCCUUCGGGUUGUAAAGCCCUUUUGUUGGGAAAGAAAAGCAGCAGGUUAAUACCCCGCUGUUCUGACGGUACCCAAAGAAUAAGCACCGGCUAACUUCGUG
rnacentral:rRNA from 1 species